CUCAGUGGGUAGAGAUUGUUGACCUCGGUGAUCAAGUAUUAUUUAUCAGUGGGCUCAACAACAAAUUUAUCUCUCUCGGUAGUACUUUUCAUGAUAAAACAAUUGAAAAAAACUCAAUUUAUUUUAUUUUCGAUUCGUCCAAAACAUACGAAUGUGGGGUGUUUUCCUUGACAAAUAGGAGCAUCAUACUUUUGAAUAGUCCCAAGGAUCAUUUGCAUAUGGGAAUGGAUCGUACUGUUUGGUUCACACCAAAUUUUUGGUAGCUAGCUCAUAAUUAGGAUAUAGAUAUGCGUUUCAAUUUUGUGUACGACUCUUCAGAUCGACUGUGUAAAUUAUUCUUUCAGGUGUAUUGUUAGUGUCUUUAUUUUCUUUUCUUAUGCUCUUGCAUGUCCUUGUGUUAUUUCAUUUACGUGUGCAAUUCAACAAGGGAAGGCUCGGUUACUAUGCUUUUCCUGCUGGCCAUUUGUUGGUUACUAUUUCAGUUUUUCUGCUUUCUUCAUUUUAUCUGCUCGUUGUAAGUUACCGGUUGAUCUGAUUCACCUUGCAGAAUUGAGACUGCGUGCAUGUGUUAUUAUGGAAACUUGGGUGAUUGGGUUUGUUCUCAGCAAUAUGUGUAAAGGCUUGUUGUGAUGCCAAAGCAACUCCCAGCCCAUAUAUCUGAACGUGGUGAUUAGUACUCUAGCCAGCCUCACUAUUCUCCAUAUUGAAAACCAAACCGAAACCUCAUUGGUGCCUGCAGAACCAUAAGGUGGAGGAUGGUAAAGGGCUUUUUGUUAACACGCAGGAAAGAGACCUUUUAUCUUGGCCGGGACUGUGAUGGUAACUUGCUAUACUUGAAGGUGUGUGAUCUGGAAUACAAGGUACAUUGCUGCAUUAAGUGGAAACUUAAUUGACAUCAUUUUCCCUAUGAAUGUAGUCCUUUUGCAUACUAGCUUACCAGAAUUAACAUAAUUCCCAAGCCAAACCUUAAAUUGAGAAAGCAAUUCUGCUGGAGGUAAAGCCAGCAACUCUGGCCAUAAUGAAACAACACUCCUUCGUUUUGAUCACGAAAUGAUUAGCAGAAACACUAUUCCACAAAAGCUAUAAAACCACACUCGUCCUAAUUGAACUUGCUGACAUUUAUCCAAUUAAAUAGAGGUGGGAAACAGAGGCAAACAAUUACAAGGUAUACUGCAUACUCCAUUAAUAAAUGAAAUUACUAUCACUCAAAUUCCAGGCCAUGCACACACUUACGGCCUAAGUUUAUUUCAACAACAACAGAAAAAAUGAUAUUACAGCAUAAAUUGUGAAGUUCGUAGUUAUCAUUUACAGAGAACAUGCAUAACAACAAUUUUCUGAACCUUGCAAGAAAAACAUUGAGAAAACCAGAUAUGCUCACCGGAAGGGCUAUGACUUGUAGUAAGAGAGGACCGAAUAUAUGGUUUGCAGGACCGUAAGAACUAUAAUAAGGACAAUUGCAUUAGAAACUGACCAUAUUGAUGAGGGAUUGUACAAGUAGUUAUGUUUGAUGUAUACUAUCAAUCUUUGUAGCCAAUGUUGUUUAUAAUACUGUCUCACUGUCAAGGAAACUUGCCAACAAGACUUGCAACAGGAGGAAGUUGCAAAACCAUUGCAAAUGUUGUUGAAGAAAUCGGCUAUGUCUUCCUUGUUUAAACUGGUAUGAAUAAUCUCUUUCUCCAUGAGAAACUCCACAUCUUUACUAGAUUUAAUAAGGUCACCCAAUGCCCUGGCAUAUGUGCUAAUUUGAUACUUAUGGGGCCCUGAUUCACACUGUUCCAAGGCGAUGAGGUUUCUAAAGACAGGAUUAUCACCCUGGAUGGUUAUUGGUGCAAUCUCCAUCACUCCCUCGAGGAAGGUUAUGUUUAUGUUGAUGUUAUUUCUGUUGGGUUGAAAUAUGACUCCAAUUUGCUGAAGUUGCGAUGCAGAGGGCAUAGAGUCCCAAAAUGGCAUAAUCUCCUCUUUCUUGUCUAAUUCAGCAGAAAGGAUCCUGACAUUGUCAAGUAAAUGUCUGCUUUCCAAUGUCUGCUCUAGAUGAUCAUCAGACAUGGACCCCCGAAUCGGGAGACAACUGCGAGUAAGCUCAGAUAGUGACUUGUACAUUCCAUUAGGUACUUUUGUGAGUUGGAAUAAACAGUCAAGAACUCUCCAAGGCAGCUGGUUUUCUAGCAUAACCAAGUCACUUGUAAGUGUUGGUGACAUUGCUAAACUAAUAUUGAACAGUGGAUCAUCAGCGUCUGCAGGCACUUCUCCUUUUCUUUUGCGGUAGUAUUCAAGAAUAAAGCAGCCGUCAACCACCAUCAUUUCUACAAAUGCUUCACUGCUCAGAUGAUCAAGUUUUUCGUUAUAGCAUUCACGACAAUAGUCUUCCAUGCUUCUGAUUUUUUCAACAAUGUGCUCCAAUUUGGUCUCAAGAUUGGGUUUUCGAUCAAGCAGCUGGUGCAAGUACCAAAGCUUAAAUUCUUCCAUGGCUUGCAGAUUCUUUGUGCCAUGGUGAAAUGGUCCAA